GGAGGGCGAGAGGGGGCGGGGGACGGGUGUUUUCAAACCCGACAGCCACAGCGGCCGCAGCCGGGGCUGAGCCCGAACCCGAGCUCCCUCGGCGCCGCCGGUGACGGCGGGUGGCACCCGCUCUCCGAUAGGAUCCCCGCGGCCGCGCCGCCACAGAGAGAAGAGGGGGGGAAGCGGCGGGAGGAGGAGGACGCGUCCCGUCGCCAGCUCCCGGGAGAAGACACACGAUGAACCCACUGAUACAAGAUACAGCUAGCUAAACAGCUAUAAAAUGCCCAAAUUUGGGUCUACAAAAACAGUUCAAGUUGAAAAUUCUGACAGUGAUAGCACCAUGGUGGAAAAAACAACCGCAAGAAAGAGCAAGGACAAGAUUGCAUCCUACAGCAAAACUCCAAAAGUGGAUAGGAGUGAUGUGGGGAAGGAGAUGAAAGAAAAGUCUUCCAUGAAACGUAAACUUCCUUUUACUAUUAGUCCAUCCAGAAAUGAAGAUCGCAAUUCAGACACAGAGAAGGAAGGUCCGGAGAAAAAGAAAAUGAAGAAGGAUGCUGGAAAUAAGAAAUCAACACCAGUUAGCAUUCUUUUUGGUUAUCCUCUGUCAGAGCGCAAACAGAUGGCACUUCUCAUGCAGAUGACAGCAAGAGACAACAGUCCAGAUUCCAACUUAAAUCAUCCCUUACAAACAACACCAGCACAAAAGAAAACUCCAAACUCUUCUUCAAGACAAAAAGACAAAGUUAACAAGAGAAAUGAACGAGGGGAAACUCCUCUACAUAUGGCAGCAAUUCGAGGAGAUGUUAAACAGGUUAAGGAGCUAAUCAGUUUAGGUGCAAAUGUGAAUGUAAAAGAUUUUGCAGGCUGGACACCACUGCACGAAGCUUGUAAUGUUGGUUACUACGAUGUUGCUAAAGUGCUGAUAGCAGCAGGAGCCGACGUGAACACCCAGGGCUUGGAUGAUGAUACACCUCUUCAUGAUUCUGCUAGUAGUGGGCAUAGAAAUAUUGUGAAGCUGUUGCUUCGACAUGGUGGAAAUCCAUUUCAAGCCAAUAAGCAUGGAGAGAGACCUGUUGACGUUGCUGAAACUGAGGAGUUGGAAAUGCUAUUGAAAAGGGAGGUGCCCAUCUCUGAUGAUGAGGACAGUUGCUCAGGUAAAAAUUCUGAAGAAGCUCCAUCUGUAAAUCCUUCCAGUGUAGAGGGGAAUGCAGAUUCAGAAGCAGAAAAGGACUCUGUAGCCAAUGACAGCAAACAAACGGUCCCUAGUAAAGUACCACUUCCAUCUGCGCUGGAUGAGUAUGAGUUUAAAGAUGAUGAUGAAGAUGAAAUGAAAAAAAUGAUUGAUGACAGACAUAUUCUUAGAAAAGACCUAAGGAAAGAGGAUGAGACUGAAGUUGACAAGAACAGCUUAUUUGUGAAGCAAGAAAAAGUCGUCUUUUCAAAAUCAUUUAAAAGCAAAAAGCAGAAACCAUCUAGAGUUCUGUAUUCAAGCUCUGAAAGUUCAGAUGAAGAAAUUCUUCAGGACAAGAAGAUAAUCUCUCCUUGCUCAAUUUCAGAGACAUCAAAUUCUGAUGUAAGAGCGAAGAAAGAAUAUAUGGUUGCAAAUGAACACAAGCAAAAGGGCAAAGUUAAAAGGAAAGUUAAAAAUCAGAGCAAAAAUAAAGAGAAUCAAGAACUAAAGCAAGAAAAAGAAAAUGCUAGAGUAACAAACAUAACUACUUCCGGGUUAGAUUCUUUAGAUAAAACUAGAGAGGAAGAAAGUUUUAAGAAGUCUUUCACCCCGAAAGAAGAUUCUUCUUUACAUCUAUUUCAUAUCACUGCUGGCAAAUCUCCAAAGCAUCCGUGUGGAUUAAGUGAAAAGCAGUCAACACCAUUAAAGCAAGAAAACACCAAAACUUGUUUAUCACCAGGAGGUUCUGAAAUAUCAUUGCAAUCUGAAUUAGUUCGGUACGAUCACAACACUGAUCCUGAAUAUCUAGUAGAAAGUUCUAGUGGCAAAUCUUGCAAGCACAGAGAAAAAAGCAAACACCAUCAGAAAGAUUUUCACGUAGAAUUUGGUGAAAAAUCUAGUCCUAAAAUUAAAGAGGAAGAUAAUAGCUCAACAUUUGAGAAUUCAGAGUAUACUCUAAGAAAGACUGACAAGGAAGGUAAAACACUUAAAAAGCAUAAAUUAAGGCACAAAGAAAAAGAGAAGGACAAGCAUAAAAAGGAACAGGAUGGGGAAAAAGAAAAACAUAAGCAUAAAGAUGCUAAAGAAGUUCAAAGAAGUAUUGAGUUUGACAGAGAAUUUUGGAAAGAGAACUUUUUCAAAAGUGAUGAAAAUGAAGAUCUGUUGUUAAAUAUAGAACAUGAAUCUCUUUCUUCAGACAGAAAAUCAAAGCUAGAAAAAGCUGUGGCAAAAGAAGAUAAGUUAGUUAAGGAGAGACAGUUCCAGAAAGAGAGAAAUGUUAAAGAGGAGAAAGAGAAGAACAAAAAGGAAAAUGAGAAGUUUCUCAAGGAUGAAAAAAUAAAAGAUGCAAAAGAAGAAAAAGAAAUUAUGCUUGCAGAUAAAGAAAUUGAAUUGUUCUGUUUUGGUGUGAAAGAUGAGGGAGCCAGCAUUCAUUUGAUAGAAAAAGAAACAGAUACUGAAAAGCAGGAAAAGAAUUUAAAGGAAAAUAAGGAAAAGACUGAAAAGCGAACUUCAGCCAAAGAAAAAGAUGUUGAAAAGACAGAAAGAAGAAAUGGAGAAAAAGAUAAAAAGGUAAAACAUGAAUACAAGACAGAGAAAGAAAAAGCAGAAGUAAAUGAAAAUAUAGAGAAAUUAAAGGAGAAGCCCAGUUUCCAGCAAGCAGAAAGAUGCCAUAAGGAAAAUGAUAAAAUAAAAAGCACAGGUACUCUUAAAAAACUUGAUGACAAAGAAAGAAAUAAAGAAAAAACUGAUAAGAAGCAUGAGAAGGAAAAGGCUGAUAAAGACAGACAUUGGUCUGAAAGCAAAGAAAAACACUGUACUGAAAGAAAAGCCAAACAAUCUGAGAAAGAAUCUGAACAUACUAAAUCAGAAAAAAAUAGAACAAAAGACAAAGAAAAGGAACUUGAAAAAAAAGACAAAUCCAAAGACAAGGAGAGCUCAACAUUAGCAAACUCAAAACACAUGCAAGAGGAUAGGAGAUGCAGUAUUACAGAAAGUAAUAAAACAGUGCACGACAAACUGUCAUCUUUGAAAGAAAAAACAAAGGAUGAGUUAUUGAGAACUCCAGAUGGUAGAGAGAAAGAUAAAAAAGAUAAAGAUAUAGACCGAUACAAGGAGAGAGACAAGCAUAAAGAUAAACUGCAUCAAAGUAGUUUACCUAAACUAAAACUCGAACAUGAGAAACUUAAGCCUAAACCAGCUCCUGCACCAAAGGAUGCUCGACCUAAAGAGAAAAGAUUAGUUAAUGAUGAUUUAAUGCAAACUAGUUUUGAAAGAAUGCUUAGCCUUAAAGAUCUGGAAAUAGAGCAGUGGCAUAGAAAGCAUAAAGAAAAAAUAAAACAGAAAGAGAAGGAACGUUUAAGAAACCGCACUUGUUUAGAACUUAACAAGAUGAAAGAAAAACCAAAACACUCGUUAGCUGAUGCAAAAAGCAAAGAACUGAUUCGUUCAAAAAGCUCAGAGUUGCCAGAUGUUUGCAUGAAGGAAAAACAGCCAAAAGAUGCUACAAGCAAUAGAUCGCAAUCAGUAGAUGCGAGAAGUGUCAAUGUUAUAAAGCCUUCCUUGGUUUUAGAUAAUUUCAACAGAUCCCCCAAAUCAGAAAGUGAGAAGACAGGUCUGAGCUCCAGGUCAGUGUCUAUGGUUUCAGUUGCAAGCUCUGAGGAUUCUUGCCAUACCACAGUAACAACUCCAAGGCCUGUGACGGAAUAUGACUCAGACUUCAUGCUAGAAGGUUCUGAUUCCCAAAUGUCUUUUUCACAAUCGCCAUUUUUGGCAAGUGCUAAAUCACCAGCCCUUCUUGAAAAAGAGACUGAUGGUCUUGCCGAGUUGCCAGAUCGCGUUAAGCCACCUUUUGCGAACAGGCUUCCACCAGCGUACAUUAGAUCAGCAUCUGUUGAAGAUGUUAAACUGGUUUUAAAUGAACCUAGACCUGUUGUAGAGGUCCGAAGAUGCAGUAUGCCUGCUGCUGUUUCUGAACACAGCAAACUGCCUCGAGUAGCAGAAGAAAAUAAUCAGAAUGCUCUUCCGUCCAUUCAGACUUAUGCUAGCACUUCUCCUAAACCAGAACUACCGUGUAGCAUGAUUGAAAGAGAUUUUCAAAGUGGUAUGUCUGGUUUGCAGUCAAACUUCACAUCAUCUCUGACCGGGGCUGUUAGCAACAAGCAGGCAACGAUGGGUACAAGUACCAUUAAAAAUACUGCUCAAAUGAGUCCUUCAGAAGAUUAUAAUACACAUUUAGAGCCAUGUAGUCAAAGUGGUGUAAGUCAGCAAACCAAACCAUGGGAUGUGCCUUUUGACAGACUUAAUUCAUUAAACAAUGAGUUUAACAGCUCAGGGUAUGUUGUAUCAGAGCAAGAUAAUAACAGUGUUAUAACAAUGCAUAAUUCUGAAAAUGGGACAAUAAAAGAGCAACAAGUAUCUGAAUUUUUGCCUCAGCAUGCUGAAAUCAAGGGAAGUUGCAGUUCUCAAGAGUCUGCGUUCGUUUUGCCUUCACAAUCGCCUUGCUCUUUAGCCGUCCAGCCACUCCCAGAUGUGUCUAAGCACAUUUCUUUACCAGGCAUUAGCAGUCAAGAUCCGUCAUUUGUACAACAAAAUCUAGUUCAAACUGCAACUACUUUGGAUACAGAUCCUACUAAUACCAGCGAGCUAGAAAAUGCUUUCUUCCCUUCAAACAUAAAGAAGGCUGAUGCACACAUUGCUGUAUAUUCUGAGAGCUCUGUGAAGGAUAUUUCACAGUGUUAUGAAAGGGCGAAUGAUUUACCUACGGUGCCGUUAGAAAAAGAUAUUCCUGAAAGUGAUAGCAGUUCGCAAUUAAAUAUAAAUUCAUACAUAUUCAGUAAACUUGUUUGUAAGAACGCUCAGAGUGAAACAGAUAGUAACACAGCAGAAACUUCAGACAUUAGAAAUCAAAAAGCACAACAAGAAAAGUUGGGUUUGGUGCAUGUUGUUGGUAAUAAAACAGACACUGAUCUCAGUGAACUAAGUUCAGGAGUGUCAGAGGGAAUUAUGAACGAAUCAGCUAACAAAAAACCCUGCACUAUAGACAGAGAAAAUGUGUUGACAGAUGAUCCACCACAGUACUCCUCUUUAUCUAAUUUGGAAAACAGUUCACAACAGGUUACACAGGAAGAGGUGCAUAAAUACAGCCAGAUAAUUAAACUAGAAGAAGAAAAUUCUGAGGAUCAGAAAGUGGAACAGCAAGAAGUACCUCAAAGAAUUACGAGGAACAGAGCAAAUAUGCUUGCUAACCAGGGUAAACAGAAUCCUGUUGGCUGCAUGCAAACAUCAGAGAAAGAGUCUGAAUCGUCAGCAUCUCUGAAAGCAAGGAUUAGAUUAACUGAAGAGGAUGAUGCUCAGAUACAUCACCCACGUAAAAGAAAGGUGUCGCGUGUGCCCCAGCCUGUGCAAGCAAACCCUUCUUUACUGCAAGCUAAGGAGAAAACCCAGCAGUCGCUGGCAGCUAUUGUUGAUUCUUUGAAGCUUGAAGAGAUUCAGCCAUACAGUUCGGAGAGAGCAAACCCAUAUUUCGAAUACUUGCACAUAAGAAAAAAAAUAGAAGAGAAGCGUAAACUACUGUGCAGUGUUAUUCCUCAGGCGCCUCAAUAUUAUGAUGAAUACGUGACCUUCAAUGGCUCAUACCUGCUGGAUGGCAAUCCUUUGAGCAAGAUAUGCAUCCCAACUAUUACACCACCUCCCUCACUGUCGGACCCACUUAAGGAACUGUUUAAACAGCAGGAGGUAGUAAGGAUGAAACUACGUUUACAGCACAGUAUUGAAAGGGAAAAGCUUAUUGUCUCUAAUGAACAAGAGGUUCUACGUGUUCACUAUCGAGCAGCGAGGACGCUAGCUAAUCAAACACUACCAUUCAGUGCCUGCACUGUUCUGCUGGAUGCUGAGGUUUAUAAUGUGCCUCUGGAUGCUCAGGAAAAUGACCAUCUCAGAAGUGCUUUUAUGGGAGGUCCGGUCUGUGGAGGUUUCCCUUCAUGGCUGCAUGUGUCGGGGAGACCUGGAGAGCUGCUCAUUCUUUUGCAGAUCUAUGGGCCAACCCAAAGGUGGGGAGGAAAAAGGCCCAAGUUUGUGGUGACCAGGCAGCUGGUCACAGCUCAGGGUGCAAGGCUGAUGACAGCAAAACAUCAGUGAGGGAUCGAUUUAAUGCAAGACAGUUUAUGUCGUGGUUACAGGACGUUGAUGAUAAGUUUGACAAAUUAAAGACGUGCCUUUUGAUGAGGCAGCAGCAUGAAGCAGCAGCUUUAAAUGCGGUACAGAGACUGGAGUGGCAGCUGAAACUACAAGAGCUGGAUCCUGCUACAUACAAAUCCAUCAGCAUUUAUGAAAUUCAGGAGUUUUACGUUCCUCUUGUUGAUGUUAAUGAUGACUUUGAACUGACACCAAUAUGACAACUAGCAUCUUCCAGCUCACGCUUUCCCUUGGACAACUAGAGACUGAGGUGCAGUGAUACACAAAAGUACUUUUCUUUUCAGACAGAGCACUUAAUUCUGUGGAAUACUACCUUUCUCAAUAAUUCAGGUGUUCCUUCAGAGAAGUGUGGCAUGGGCUCUUGUUCAAACACAGAAGAUGGAUGCUCAUUGUAAAGUUGGUUUCCCAGUAAAUGCCAUUAUCUGUAUUUAAAAAUUGCCUAUAGCUUUAGAGCUUAUUGCUGAAAAAGAUGACAAAACAUGGUGAGUUAACAGCGCUGGAAGCUGUUAACAAUUAAAACAGCCACCAAAAAACAAAUGAUACUUAAAAUCUGCUACGGAGCUUUGUAUUAUGAAACUUCAAUAACAGUUGAACUCCCACAGAAAACCUAUGAAAAAGCCUGUGGAAGAAAAUGUAAGACUUGGAGGAAAAUAUUCUAUUAAUCUUAUUAUAUUUUGUAAAUUACUGUACAGUUUUCUUUUUGGAAAAAGAUGUAAUAUUGUCUUCAUUUUUAAAUAAUUUAUUUUAUACAUAUUGUGCAAAUGUAAAUAGUCUUGUAAUUAAUGUUCAAACCUGUAUAAAAUAGAUAUUUUAACCGUAAAACUGUUUUUUUGUCUAAUGUUUUAUUGGACCAAAGUUGUAGUUUUUAUUAAGUGUAGUGUGUUCCUGGUUGGCAGUUCUUUUUCAUAUGGCAUGUGUUUGAUUUAGCUGCUUGUCUCAUCAACAUAACUGUAAAAGGAUUGAAACUGAACUGUAUUGCAUGCUUCACCGAACUCUUAGCUCCUUUACUUCAAUAACUGAUACCUACGCAAUUGUAAUCUUUACAAAAUCAUAUUUCAUAUUAGUCUGCUGUUGUAAUGCCAUACCUAUGACUUACUAUACUGAAAAUAUUUUUGUGUAAAACAAAAAAAAACCUUUUGCUCUUAUAUGGCGGUCUCAUAAUAGAGCCUAUUUUUUCCAACAAAAUGCCUUUGAAUGAAAAUUCUUAAAUUGUAUAUUGUCUAUUUUAAUAUUAAUCUAUGGAAGGAUAUGUAAAUACUUGUAAAUAUAAUGUUUAAUAAAUUUUAUUGGUCAUGUUA